rnacentral:lncRNA from 1 species
UAAGCUGAUGCUACUCGGGACUCAACUGCAAAACCAACAGGAGUUAUAUGAAUUUCAAGGCAAUGCUAAAUUUAGAUUGUCAUACCACAGCUUCAAACUGUGAGAUUGUUAGGAUUUGACGCUUCGAGAUUCAGCCCACAUUGAGCCCACAGCGAGGUUCGCAGCGAAAAACGGAGUCAAACGAGACCAAGAUCACCUGAAACG